ACAUACACAUGUCUGCAGACAGAGAUGGGGGUGAAGCUUCCGCAAGCCAAGGGACACCAAAGAUUGCCAGGAAACCACCAGAGGCUGGGAGAGAGGUAUGGACCGGAUGUUCCUCGCGGCCACCGAGGGAGCCAGUCUGCUCUCAAAUUUGCAUCAAGUUUUGCUUUCAAUGGCUCUUCCCAGUGAAAGUACACAACAGCCGUUUUUCAAGAGGCUGCCAGGGGGGAGUGUCAUUCGAUGUCGCCAGAGGAACCCCCACACAGAGAUCUCAUGAGACGGUGCACCCAGGCAGAGUGGGCCACGGCGGGCCUCCUCACUGCGGUCAGAAACCUCAAAAUUGAAAAUUCCCAGUACUUCUUCAGAUUCAAACGGAUUUAAUCAUUUCACAGUUGCCCAGUGACCACAUUGCUAUUCACUGUGGUAGUGUGCCUCAUUCAGUGUUUGAACCCGAAUCUGCUCGUGAAGAUACAAGAUGGAGGCUUUUUUUCUUUUUUCUUUUAGAGAGCGAGAGAGGAAAAAACUACAGGUGAGCAGGGGAGAGGCAGAGAGGGAGAGAGAAUCCCAAGUAGGAUCUGCACUGUCAGUGCAGAGCCCGAUGCGGGGCUUGAUCAUCCUACGGCCCCAGGAUCAUGAUCUGAGCCCAAAUCAGGAGUCAGAUGGUCAACCAACUGAGCCACUCAGGUGCCCCCAAAGAUGGAGGUUUUCUGCCUUAGGGCUACCCAGUUGAAAUCAUACAGUUUUCAUUCCUUAUGUAUAGUAAAAAUCUGUAGGCACUUUAUUCGGUAACCUGCGUUUGCCACAGGUUCCUGAGCCAGGGGAUACGAUGAGAUCCCACAGACAGGACUCGGGGUCGUAAACUAGUACCCCCCGGAGGUGCACAGUGCCUCAGACCGCUCCCUUCCAAAGUCCCAAUUCCCUGUUUCUAGGGGUUUCCUGGGCUGUUUCACAGGGGAUCUAGGGGGUUCCUGGGUGUCUGUUUCACAGCAGAUCUAGGGGGUUCUUGGGUGUUUCACAGCCGAUCCAAGGGGUUCCUGGGGCAUCUCACAGUGGAUCCAGAGCAGUCCUUUGUGCCCUUCCCCUGACCCUCCGCUUCAUUGUAAUCAUGUCAGUACCUGCAGUGUUAUAAAGCUCUGCCUGCAGCAGGGUCCCGGACCCUGGGAGCCUCUGUCUUUGCACGAGACGCCGUCUCCCCACCUGUGCCGCGCUCCCUGGGGCCUGGGGGCCACAACCAGGCUGAAUUCCAAGCCCAAGUGGGGUGAUAGCCUCUGUCAUCUCUACUCCAACACGAGUCCAGGCCCACACCGGGAGCUACUUGGCAUUUAGAACAACGUCUGCAAAUAAUAAAGAGCACAUGAGAUUUAGAAUGAUUUUUCAAAUACAUUUUUUAAUGUUUAUUUAUUUUGAGAGUGGGGAGGGGCAGAGAGAGGGAGACAGAGAAUCCCAAGCAGGCUCCGCGCUGCCCAGCAUAGGGCAUAGGAGAUCAUGACCUGAGCCGAAAUCAAGAGUCUGAUGCUUAACAUCCUUAAUGGACUGAGCCACCCAGGCGCAAUUAUUCACGGCUGAACUGAAGCCCACACUUAUCAAACACAAAUACUACAUCCUGGGUUUAUAUCGCUUCGCGGUUAUAGGUGUCAAAAGCUGUCUUUAUCCCUCUCUAAAUGUUCACGUUGAAUGACAGGACUGGAGUAGCUCAAACUGUUAUUUAUACCAUUUUCGUUCUCAUGGUUUAUGCCAAAGCUCCCGUUUAAAUGCCGGAAUAUUUAGAAACUCAGGGACUGAGGAUAUGAGCUGCCUCUGCAGUGAGCUCCAACUGUCCCAAAUUCUUAGGAAGUUACUCCAGAACCUUCUGUGUGGUACUUGUUUUCUGCGUACCAGAACUGUAUAACUGGGGGUUCUCGGACCCUUUGUUUGUUAAAGGAUGAGUCAUAAAAUGUGCUAAUUUGAAGCUUACACGUUUUACUAAAACUCAACGGUGGCUACAGUAAUCGCUUAGAACUUGGGGAACAAAAGGUUUCUUUCUGGGAGGAACAUUCUCAUUGCCAACAUUGUUUAGCUUUG